rnacentral:lncRNA from 1 species
CUUGUGCAAAUGAUGCUAAUAUGAAUGAAUGAGAUGCACCCGUAUCAAAUAUGGCUCUAGCCCUAGUGCCUCUGAUUAAGAUAAUACCGGCCACGACGUCAUCAGGAACGAUGAUUGGCGGCUCCUCCACCUGAGUGGCAAAACCCGCCCACUAGGUGCUCGAGAAACCUCCGGCUGACGUGACACCGACGAUCGUCCAGCAGAUGUUGCGGGUGGCAGUCCCGCCAGCUGUCACUGUGUAUACUGUACUGAAGCUGAUGACGGGGCUGGGGACGCGCCGCCCGAGCACUCUUAACUCAAGUGCCCCGGUUGGCCACAUCGGUAACACCGCCCCUCCCGCUGUGGGCAACUGGUGGCUCUAUGCUCUCCGCCGCAUAUCACGCACGGGUAGGUAGUCUGGCCCUGUGUCUGACUCCUACCUCCUCGCCACUGCGAUCGCUGAGGUCGCGGGGGUCGCUUAGAACUCGACUGACCCGCCGAUCCUCCAGCAGGUCGCUUCUUAGUCUUCUCCCUUUCCUUAUCCUU